AUGGCAGAGGCAGCGUCUGGGUGGAGGGAGGACAAAGAGGGCAAGGAAGGGAGAGAGGAGGGGAUCCGGGAGAUUAUGGAUGUGGAGUCUAGUAAGCAGAGAUUACACGAAAGAAAGUGGUGCUCUGCAAACCUUCUGGCUACCAUCAAAGGUUUGUACACGAAGCCAUCCAGAUAUACAAACACAGACAUAACUUCAACCGUGAUAAUGGGUACAGACUGAGUAAUCAUUGGAAACAUGUUAUUAACCAUGUAAAAAAAAUUAACUACACAUAUUUGUACCAUCUUAUUUGACAGGUACUAUUCUACUUUACCGAGUGUUGACAUCACCAGCGUUUAACAGUACUGCUAUUUUGUAUUUUGGAUUUGUCAGCUAACACCGGCCGUAGCCCCGGGCUGAGGUGCACUAAUUGUUCCCUUCUAGCCCCCCCACCCCACCGUCCAGUGGGAUUUGGCAGCCAACAUCGGCCUCAACCCCAAGUUGAGGUGCACCAAGUGUUCCCUUUUAGCGCCCCCCCCCCCACCGUUCCAUUCCCUGACUACCACAUUCAGAUAAGCCCCUCCCCCCCUCCCCCUUAACAUGUAUUUAAGAGCUUGUCUCUUGGAUUUUUCCUCACUUGAUACAGUAAAUUUAGCUGUGACGGUCCCACCUGAUGACGGAGACUUGUGUUGCCUCCGAAACGUCGUGAUUUAUUAUUUUAUUUCUAUUUUUAUUAUUAUUUAUUCUUUAUUUUUACCUACGUGACUUUACCGAAAAAACCUAAGAGUAUGAAUCCAAGAUAACUGUUUCCCCCGCAGUGAACAAAAAGUUGCAUCGUGUGACUCAGAUGGAAGGGCAAGAUCUGAAGCUGAGCUGUACCUUCACAGUGGCACGUGUGUUUACUUCACUACGUUGGGAAUACAAAACUUUGAAUGAGCUUAAAGAAAGAGAAACCAUUUUAUUCUGCUCUGAGAAACAAAAUCCUCCUUGCCCCGAGUCUCCGUUGUUUCCCCGAGUGGAGUUUUCUGGAGACCUGAAGAAUGGGGAUGGCUCCAUCACCAUCAAGAAAGCCACCAACGAUGACAGUGGUGUCUAUAGCUGUGACAGCUUCGACUGGAAUACAACACAUCAAACCGUGGUGGAGAUCUUGAGCACCACAAGUACCGCAAACUCACCCAUCUCCUCGUCCUCAGUCACUCCAAGUUCCCCCUCUUCCUCCAAGCCGCCGUGUUGCCUGUGGCUCUCGCUGGCCGUGCUGACGAUGGGCGUGGUGUCUGUGCUGCUUGGGGGCGUAUGCCUCGUGCGAUGGCGAUGGGAAACAGGAGAACUCGCAGGGGACUGCGCGGAGAAAACGAUGUAGUCCAAUUAGAACUCGUGGUCGUGGCUAGUCCAACAGGGUACGAAUAUGGCAAUCGACAUUUUCUAUCAAUAUAGAAUUUGCCUGUCGAUAAUAAUUUGCAUUUGCAGGGCACUCGCUUAAAUGCUGCAGCUACUCGAAGUACCCAACGUCAUAUCUCAACCACUCCAAUGCAGUAUCGGGAGACGUCUAGUAGCAGAUGUCUUUAUUACACAAAUUGUAUGCAACCCAAUUGAACAUCCUUAUCCUAAAACGCUAUCGGCUUCCCAGAAAGUGGAAUUGAUUGCAUUAAACCCCGGGGAAUUAUGGGUUAUGUUGACUUCUGGAUGAUAUUUUUAACUUGCAAUGUUCUGAUUCCUUCAAGUGCUAACCAAUGCUCUACCCAUUCAGACAAAUUUAACACAUAAUGCAUGUCAUAUAAAGCAACUAAAUACGACUGCUUCAAUCCAAUUGUAACUCUCACAAGACUUCCUAAUCUCAUCAUGCCCCUUCCCUGCUCCCCCUUAAUGUACAGUAUACUAUUGUUUGUAGGGAAUUAUUUUAAGAGCUGUUCAAGAAUGAUGCAUAGUCAAUUUGCACAGUGACAUUCUUACUUUAUAUCUAUAUUUCAUGAAGUCAAAGCAUAGUGGAUGUUAUUUUAGA